UACGAAGGGGGCUAGCGUUGCUCGGAAUCACUGGGCGUAAAGCGCACGUAGGCGGAUUUCUAAGUCAGGGGUGAAAUCCUGGAGCUCAACUCCAGAACUGCCUUUGAUACUGGGAAUCUUCGAGUCCGGGAGAGGUGAGUGGAACUGCGAGUGUAGAGGUGAAAUUCGUAGAUAUUCGCAAGAACACCAGUGGCGAAGGCGGCUCACUGGCCCGGUACUGACGCUGAGGUGCGAAAGCGUGGGGAGCAAACAGGG
rnacentral:rRNA from 1 species